rnacentral:rRNA from 1 species
CCAGACUCCUACGGGAGGCAGCAGUGGGGAAUAUUGGGCAAUGGAGGCAACUCUGACCCAGCAACGCCGCGUGAAGGAUGAAGGUUUUCGGAUUGUAGACUUCUGUCGUGAGAGACGAAGAAUGACGGUAUCUCGCAAGAAAGCCCCGGCUAACUACGUGCCAGCAGCCGCGGUAAUACGUAGGGGGCAAGCGUUAUCCGGAUUUACUGGGUGUAAAGGGAGCGUAGACGGCUGUGCAAGUCUGAAGUGAAAUGCCGGGGCUCAACCCCGGAACUGCUUUGGAAACUGUGCAGCUAGAGUGCAGGAGAGGUAAGUGGAAUUCCUAGUGUAGCGGUGAAAUGCGUAGAUAUUAGGAGGAACACCAGUGGCGAAGGCGGCUUACUGGACUGUAACUGACGUUGAGGCUCGAAAGCGUGGGGAGCAAACAGGAUUAGAUACCCGCGUA